UUUUAGCCCAGAUGGGAAUGGAAACCCCGGACUUAUAUUUGUUGAAUUUUUUUGGUGUAAAAGAGCGACUCCCGACGCUUCGGGAGAAGCUCCUUUUAUGCCUUAAAAAAUUACAAAUAUAAGGAGGAGUUGCAAUGUACAGCUGGAUUAGCU
rnacentral:sRNA from 1 species